GUCUUUGUGACUGGCACUCAUGGACAGACAGUGGUGUUCAGGGACAGAACAGAUUUUGGAGGGGGUGGGGAGGCCAAUAAACCAAGAAACGUCAGAAAUAAAAGUCGCAUGAAGUACUCUGAUCUCUGUAUUUCCUUUUUUUUUUUUUUUUUUUUGAAAUUUGAUUUUAACUCUUGCUUUUUUUUAUGGUUUGUGUCUGUUUUUUCCACCCCCGCUGGCGCCGAGCUGCGCUGUUUUGUGUUUCUUUUUUUUUUUUUUUUUCUAUUUUUUUUUUUUAAAUUCUGAAGCCAGACCGUCUUUCCUCACAGCUCCACGGCUGCAUCUCCGUGGGCACGCAAGCUUCCCCUGGUUACCUGAGCUGCUCCUGCCGUCUCCCGCCUGGGCUUCGCCGUGGUGCACCCGAUCCCGGAAUCGUGCGUCUGCGCCCUGCGAAAGAAGGACCUGCUGGCGGAGCUCCGGCCGGGGUCUCCUGCCUCGCAGCUGGGCGAGGGGACUUGGAGGACAGGGUGAAGCUGCAGAAGACCUGGGGUGGGAUGGCUAGAGAGGACGCCAAGGACUGGGGAAGGGGAAGUUAGGAAUACCUUACAUCCAAUGCCCACCCGUGCUCCGCAGGGCAAGGGCAGCCGUCGCCUCGGCCGCGUGCACCCAGCUCAGGCUGUUCCCAGGGAUUUAGUCUGGGGGGACAACCCAUGGCGAGAUGUGGUGGCAUUUUACCUCAGAGUGGAGCUGAAGAUGGAUAAACAAGUUCUGGAGACCAGAAGGCCAAAAUCAAAAGUAUGGGCAGGCUUGAUUUCUUUAGAAGACUCCAGCGGAGAACUGUGUCUCCUUGCUUCUGAUUCUACAUCUCCAUCCAUGGGCCACUGUUUCAGCAACCUCAGCCAGUGCAACACAACCUCAGCCAAGAAGAGUAUGCAGAGAAAGGAGUCCCCUACCUGCCACAAAACUGUUGUCUGAAAACUGUCUCAUAUUGUCUCAAGUUGUCAUUCAUUGUGAAUUAGACCUGUUUAACAUGUAAUCUGCAACAUGCUUCACUGUCUAAUUUUCCAGAGCCCCUCAUAUAAGGAACUGUAUUAUUGGUAUAAUCAUCAUGGUGAAGAAGUUGGUAUGUGGGGGAGAGAUGACAGAAACAGAGAGUAAGUCAGAGCUGGCUGCCUGACAGAUAAAAAGGAAAUGACCAAAAAAAAAAAAAAAGACACAGAAGAAUACUUUGUUGUCCACACAGAAAAGGGAAGUGUAGGUAAGACAGCAGUAGACUAAGAUUCUUAAGACUCAAGUUCUAGUCUUAUUUAUUAGCUAUGGGAGGCCUUGAGGGAGUUCUAGAAUUAAGUGAUCUCUCUUUAUAAAAUAGGAACAGUAAUAACUUCCUGGCUAACUCCCUGGCUGUCUCACAAUGCUGUAGUAGUAAGAAAUAAUUUUAUAAUUAAAGACUAUUUUAGGGCUGAUUACAUUUUUGGGCAGUGGCUCAUACAUGUAAUUUCAACAUUUUGGGAGGCCAAGGUGGGCGGAUUGCUUGAGCCCAGGAAUUCAAGACCAGGCUGGGCAACACAGACCUUGUCACUACAAAAGAAAAAAACAUUAGCUAGGCGUGGUGAUGUAUGCCUGUGGUCCCAGCUACUCAGGAAGCUGAGACAGGAGGAUCACCUGAGCCUGGGAGGUCGAGGCUACAGUGAGCCAUGAUCACACUACUGCACUCCAGCCUGGGAAACAGAGUGAGACUCUGUCUCAAAAAAAAAAAAAAAGGAAUAUUUUACACUUCAAGGUUCUAUACAAAUGUAAAAUAUCAUUCUAUUACUUAUUUAUAAUGCUGAUUAUUCUUUAAAUGACUUUAAAAUGUUAAUCUCUGCUUGAGCCUACGGAGAAGUAUGUAACAAAUUUGUGAAGGAUUGGCAUUAAACAUAGUCAAAAUAAAACAUAGAAAUUAUGGUAAAUAAUUUAACUGGUAAAAUAAUCUAAGUGGUAGUUCUCAGGUAAGUGGAAAUUCGAUUAGCUGAUUGUUUAGGAUUCUUGGUUAUAAGUGACAGAGACCUGACUAAAAGUACAUGAAGCACAUAACUGAGAAGGUUGUGGUAUGGCUCAGCAGAAAUGGGAAAAUCUUGGGACUGGUUCGUGUUUUAUUUACAUUAUCUUUGUUCCCAGGCAGUCUCUGCAUGUAAGUGGCAAAGAUGACUGUCUGAAAAUAUAUACCUACUUUUUUAAAGGGCUAUCUCAAGCCAUUCUGGAGAAGCACCAAAAGCCACUUUGCUUAUACUGGGAGAAUAGUUUGCUUUCCCUAAUUUGUGAUGAGUGAAACACUGAACAGAGACAUAGAAUAAUAUUCUGUAGUUCAGGGUUGGUGUAAUAUGGCCAGUGGGCGGAAUCUGGUCCUCAGACUGAUUUUGCAAAUAAUCUUAUAGAAACACAGCAACACCCAUUCAUUACAUGUUGUUUAUGGUUGCUUUGGGGUUACAAUGGCAGAGUUGAGUAGUUGUGACAGAGAUCACUAGGCUCACCACAUCUGAGAUAUGUACUGACUGACCCUGUACAGAAAGUUUGCUGCUCUUAGAGGAAUGUGUGUUUCUAGUGUCAGCAAUAAACUUCUUGGAUUUGUUUUGUUUUCUCAUCUUUACAUGAUAGUUGCAGACUAGUUGAUCCUUGUGACCUGUUUUUGAAUGCCACUGUGUAUUCUGUCAGGGCCCUCUGAUUCUGUUUCUUAUGGUGCUGAAUGCACAAUUUAAUGCCCUGGAAUUUCCUUCUGUCUUCUGCUAAACUCAUGCCUCUUCAGAUAGUUAAAAUCCUGUUCUACCUUAGAAGUCUCCAGAGUUAUUUUCCUAAAUUAAGAAGAACUGGCUUUGAAGUUACUCAUUAUGCCACACACAAUGGUUGAAAAGAGCAUCUCUUAUGUACUGUGUAUAUUUCAGCAUCCACUCAGCUUCUUAGGUAGAAAAGGAAGAGUCUUCCACAGUGUAUUUUAUCCAUAUUUGGGUCAGAAACUCUUCUUUACCACGGAGCGUGAUGGAAGAAAGAUAUGGGAUGGUAACAGUAGGCCAGGGAUGUAAUAAUCACAAAAUUUGAGAUAUUUUGUGACUGGUGACUCACGCCUGUGAUCCCAGCAUUUUGGGAGGCCAAAGCGGGCGGAUCACCUGAGGUCAGGAGUUCAAGACCAGCUUGGCCAAUGUAGUGAAACCUCAUCUCUACUAAAAAAAUAUAAAAAUUAGCUGGGUGUGGUGGUGCACACCUGUAAUCCUAGCUACUCAGGAGGCUGAGGCAGGAGAAUAGCUUGAACCAAGGAGGUGGAGGUUGCAGUGAGCUGAGAUUGUGCCACCACUGCAUUCCAGUCUGGGUGACAGAGCGAGACUCUGUCUCAAAAAAAAAAAAAAAAAAAAUCUAGAAAAAGAUCUCCAAGAUUCAAUCAUCUAAUUAUUUCUUUUAAAAAUGAGAAAAAUGACUCCUGGUCAGCUUUUACCUUCUUUUUCCAACUGUCUUGACAAUACUUUCAUAUUGGGCUUUUAAAGUCUCAAGUAAUAGGUUUUUAAAACCUCAGCUGAUAAAAGUAUAAAAAUAAAGUUAAAACAUAUUAAAGACAAAACCCAAGAAUCAGCUUCCUCUUCCUUCAUUACUCUUGCAUGGGUGUUGGCUCUAAUUUCUCCAUCUAGUUAGGCAGUCCUUUGCUUUUUAUUGCUUGUUUAUUGAUGACAUUUGCCAUUUGUAGCAAUAGUAAUAGAAUCAUCUAUAUAUUUGUGGCCUUGUUGAAUGUAGAAAAAGGAUAGUGGCAUUUUCUAAUUGUGUAACCCUAUAACACCUUGACGGGGGACUACAGUUCAUAUGCUGGACCUUUUGUGUUUGUUCAUGGCGGGUGGGUUGCUUUAAUAUACUUAGCACAUUGUCCUAAUUGCCAUCCUUUUGGGGAGGGCUAUAUAUCCAAGCUAAUAUGGUAGCAUUUUUGUUUUAACAUAGAGCUGACCCAAGGUAGACGUAAGUGUUGUUCAUUUUUGCCUAAUACUAAUAAAAUUACCUAAUUGUUGAAGCUUGGAGCUUGAAUCUAGGCAUUUUAUUUCAUUUCAAGUACACCCUAGUAUUUUAAAGCAUAAAUAUCCUACUAUCCUCAACAACUUUAGAACAAAAAUAAAUAUUUUAACAAGAAAAAAGCAUGCCAUGACAAGCUGUAACUUAGUAAAGAAAGACAAGGAAUGGUCUCUAUAGACCGAGAAAAAAUAGGUCCUCAGAUAUAUUUAUACCAAAGGAAUGUUAUGAAUGUAAAAAACAGUUUGACUCCCCCCCCCCCGCCAAAAAAAAACUCCACAACCCUAUAUUUUGUUAUCACAAGACUGUUUUAGUGAAUAAAACAGUAUGAAUUGGUUUUACCUGUUUCCAUUUAAUACUUAUUAACUUUAUAAUCGUAUAGCCUGAGGGUUUUAACUUCAAGUACAGCAUGAUGACUAUAAUAGUUUUACACAAGGCAAAUGUGAAAAACAGAAGUAAUUUCUUUUAAAAAGUGUGAAAUAUCUAAAAGGUAUGACUUCAAUACAUCAACUCAGGUGAGACAGACAUGUAACUUCUUUUUCCAUGUUUAAACCUAAUAUUGCUUUUGUGCCUCUGAAGGCUCGGAGUUUCCAUGCCUUCUUAGGACAUGCCACCCUCUCCACACCUGGAUGUGUUCACCAACCCAGAAGCUCUUGGAACCCCAUCAUUUGGGGUUUUUAUGGAGUCCCCAUUAAGUAGGUAUGACUGAUUAAAUCACUGGCCAUUGGUGGUUGACUCAAUCUCCAGCCUCUCUUCCCUCUCUGAAGGUGAAGGGGUGGGAAGGUGAGGCUAAGUUCCAACCCUCGGAUCACAGGGUUGGUUCCUCUGCAACCAGGCUUCAUCGUGAAACAAUACAGGGCCCACCGAGAGUCACCCCAUUAGCAAACUCAGAUGUGAUUGAAAGGGGCUUAUUAUGAAUAUCAAAAGACAUUUCUCUUUCUCCUAUUACUCAGACAGUUACAAGGGUUUCAGAAGCUCUUGCACCAGGAACUGGGAACAAAGACCAAAUAUAUAUGUCUUCUUCUAUUACAAUGUCACAGGUGUGACAGAGUAGGUAAAUGGAGUCUCAGAGAGUCCCCAGAGUAUUCCAUGGAGCCACAAAAUGAAGAAUAAAUGGAUGGUUCUCCCCAUGAUCAAAAGUGGCCUGAAAAUACUUGAGAAUGAGUCAUAACUUAAAAGGCUGUAUAGUAGAAAAGAAUGCACAGAGGACCGAAUGUAAAAGAAGGCACCCCAGUCUCAGCUAGUGUGGAUGCAUGCCAGUGUAGAAAGAUGCUAGUGUGGCUACAUUGGUGCACUGAAGACCAAACUCCUGCAUGGCCCCACAUCCUUGAUACCUUAGAUCUAUAUCAUCCCCUAAAACUUAGGUGUUAUGACAUUCAGGAUAUGCUACCCCAUCAUUUUUUAGGCUGAAGGAAUUUGAGAAAACAGAAGCAGGAAUGUAAUUGCCCAGUGGGUUCUUCCUGCCCUGUGCACAGACAAAACCAGUUCACUGAGACCAUGGUAUUGCAGUUAAGAAAGAGUUUAACAGGAGGCUGGCCACAUGGAAGAAUUACAGUUAUUACAAAUUAGUCUCCCUGAAGGCUCAGAGGUCAGGGUUUUUCAUGGAUAGUUCGGUGAGCAGUGGAUUAGGGGUAAGUGCUGCUGAUUGGUUGGGGAUACAAUCAUAGGGGUGUGGAAAAUGGUCCUUGUGUGCUGAGUCACCUCUGGGUGGGAGGCCAUGGGACCCAUUGAGUCAUGAGUCACGAGGCUGGGUUGGGUCAGUGUGAAAAACAUCUCAAAAGACCAAUCUUAGGUUCAAAAUAGGUGAUAUUACCUGUAGGAGCAAUUGGGAAAGUUAUAAAUUAUAUGACCUCUUGGCCCCAUGACUUCUGAGCAGUAAGAGAUGAUAGAAACUAAACCUACAUUUUAUCAGCACUCAGGCCUCUUCCAUAAUCCUAAUCUUGUGGCCUUUCGUUAGUCUUAUAAAGGUGGUUUGGUAACUGCCCUCAAGCAAGGAGGGGAUCAGUUUUAGGGAGGUGCUAUUAUCAUCCUUGCUUCAAAGUUAAGCUGUAAACUAAAUUCCUCCCAUAAUUAGCUUGGCCUACACCCAGAAAUGAGCAAAGACAGCCAGCCUGUGAUGUUAGAAGCAAGAUGGAGUUAGUCAUGUUAGAUUUCUCUCACUGUCAUAAUCUUUGCAAGGGAGGUUCCAGGAAGGUCAUCCUACCUUUCCCCUCACCCUUCUCAUGUGACACAGGUCAUAAAGCCUAGGAAGGAUUUUCCGACCUUUCCCUGAAGCAGGUCGUAAGACCCUCAUUGGGGAGGUGCCAUUUCUAGACCAAGAGAAAAGGCACAUCCUUAUGUCUGAAGACACAGGGACACAGAGAAGAAUCUGAACAAACAGGUCUUGCUAAGUUCCCCCCAGUUUGUUUUCAUUAGAUCAUGCCCCUUUAUUCAAUGCUGUUUCUCCACAACUAUCCAUUUCUUCAUCAAGCCUAGCAUAAAAAAUACAGGUUUCACGGUUUCUUUGGGUCUUCAUUUCCUUAUAAAGUCUCCUGUACCAUGUAAAACUUAAAUAAGUUUCUCUGCUUUUCUCUUGUUGAUUCUGUCCUUUGUUUUAUAACCCUCAGACAUGAACCUAGUGAUGAGUGAGGGGAAGAUAAUUUAUUUUCCUCUACAGAUGCAAAAGGGAAAAGGGAACAAUCCCUAAACGGAAGUUAUGAUCCAGGGAUCAGAGGCUCAAAAGCAAGAUUAGGUUUAAAUGUAGAAAAAUACAUUCCUCUUUCAUUUUAGAUAUCCCAAAUGCCCAAAUCAACCCAGCUAUUUCUCAGAAGUCUGUUUCCCCUCCACCCUCUGCUCCUCUGUGUAGUGAAACUGUCUCGUUUGGGAGUAAAAUGGCCUGGCUUUCCUUACUGAGUAUACUCUCAAGACUAUUGCCUAUUACUUUUUUCCAUUCCUUCUUGAGAACUACGCUUUUUAAAACAAGAAUUGACUCCAUUUAUCUUUUUCUUUUAGCCUUCUGCUGGGGUAUGCCUUCUCUAAAGCAAUGAAUAAAAAAUGCUUUAGCUGAAUAAAUGGGGCAAGGAUCAAGGAGUACAAGCUAAUAUUUCACAAUAUUAUCCUGCCAUAAAUAAAAGUAUGGUUUAAAUGACAAUGGUGGGGUUAGGAGUUACAGGUCACUGAAACACCACCUUAUUCAUGCUACCAGCCCCUUGGCUUUCCUGAUGGCAGCAGGGAAGCAACACAUAGGUAGAAUUAUGAGCCAACAUCGUGACUGGAGAGGGAUUGAAAAUCUUAUUUGUUGUCUUCCUAGACUAUUACAGUUAUCUGUUGAAAUUAGACUCAAUUCUUUGGCGAAAGUACUCAUUUUUAAGGUCCAUAAUAAAUUGUAACUAUGUAGCCUUUGUUGCAUGAGUUUAGUAUGAGCUGAUUGGUGGGCCACAGUGAAAGGCAGAGGGAAAUGGAUGUUAACUAAGAGGUAGAAGUCCCCUUGAAGUUCUGACCCUGUCACUAAUGAAGUCUUUAUUUCCGUAUUUAGUAAUUGCCUUUUUUUUUUUUUUUUGAGACAGAGUCUUGCUCUGUCGCCAGGAUGGGGUACAGUGGCACAGUAUCUGCUCACUGCAACCUCCGCCUCCCAGGUUCAAGCAGUUCCCCUGCCUCAGCUUCCUGAAUAGCUGGGACUACAGGUGUCUGCCGCCAUGCCUGGCUAAUUUUUGUAUUUUUAGUAGAGACGGGGUUUCACUAUGUUGGCCAGGAUGGUCUCGAUCUCCUGACCUCGUGAUCUGCCCACCUCAGCCUCCCAAAGCUAGGAUUACAGACGUGAGCCACCAUGCCCGGCCAACUGCCUUCUUUAUAUCUCAUUUUAAAAAUUUAUAACAAAGAAGUGGGUUGAUUUUCAAGACCUAGUUGUGUUAGUUUGAAUGAGAUGCAUACAUUUGGCAAGUCUGGGGUCUAAGAAAAGAUAAAGAUCUGAAUGCUGAAAAUCUAGAGAAUUCAGGUUACUGGGGGAUAACUUAAAGUCACUAGGGAAUUCGGGUUACUGGGGGGAUAACUUAAGGUCACUAGGGAAUUCGGGUUACUGGGGGGAUAACUUAAGGUCACUAGAACCCAAAUGCAGGGAAGAGUUGGGUGCUCUUUGGCAAAUAAACAUUCCUGACUUAGCAUUUUUCUUAAACCCGAACGUGCCAGCUGUUUUUUUGUUUUUUUGUUUUUUUGUUUUGUGACCUCAGCCAGGCUUGCGUGUUUAUUCAUCACAUAUUCUAAGCUCAUAUACAACUGUGACCUGAUCCAGCCUUCAAGGAACUCACUCUUGAUUUUAGGAAUCUUUCCACCACUUCGAUUUCAUCUUACUCCUGAAACAGUCAGCCAGAACUGUCUAAUUCAGUCUAUACUUCUGAUACAAAACUCUACCCAGCAACCACUAUGGUUUUGUUGCUUUAGGUACGUGUUAGAAAGCACCCACAUCAAUUUACAGAAAAUCCUUAACUGAAUCUCUAGUCCCAGAGGAGUCAUAUUUUAUUAUAUGGUGCUUUUUAUUUAAAGAGAUCGGUUUAAUAGAAAUUACUCAGGCAUUUGAAGUGAUAGCUUUAAAAUGUGGGACUGGGGAAAAUAAGAACACUUGACCUCUCUCCAUAAAAUUGAAUUGUUCUUUAGGUUUAAAGUUUUGACAGACAAAGAGAAAGUGAGAGCAAGUGAGGGUGAAAAUAUAUCCUUAUUUGGUAAUGAGUACCCAUUAAGAGGACAGUAUAUUACAUUUCAUCUUCUUACUUCACAUUCCUGUUUUAAGGAUUUGUGAGCAAAGUGCUGUGAGACCUCUAGAGUUAAGAGGCUGGAGAUAGGUAGUUUUGAUGGUAUUUUAAGGAGUGCUCCAUAAUGUGUAGUGUCUGAGUGCUGAAGCUUAAUCAGCUUCAAUUAAAUCCAAAACAUACUGAAUAGCUCCUAUGUGUCUGGCAUUGAGCUGUGUGCCAAAGUGGUGGAAAGAUGUAAGAGCCACUGAGGCUUAGAGAUGAAAAGGAUCUUGGAGCCACUGGUUUCCUGCCUGCUGGAGUUUCACCAUCAAGGACCCUUUCGUUAUUUUCCUUCUCCCAUGCAUUUUAUUAAAAUUUUUGGUUUAGUAAACCAAAUUCACUAAUGGGAUGUUAUUUUCAUAUCAAAGAGUAUAAUUCUGCCAAUCAAGGCUUCUGAUCAGCAUAAAAUAAUUAGGUUUCAUACUGAAUGCACAAAUUCUAGUCAAAAGCAAAGCCAUUUGAUGACAUGUCUGCUAUGUUGCCAUUUGCUUUAAGAGAGGUAAAGGUAGCCUGACUUCUGUUCACUCUGUAGUACAGAAUACAUUGUUAACAAGUCAUAGGUAUGUUCUUUUAGGUUUCUAAUUACUGUCAGCCUCUCAUUUCAGACAGGUGAUGUGAUAAGGUGAAAUGAUUACUAUAUUUAGACUCAAAAGUCCUGAGUUUGAGUCCUCGUUUAACGAUCUAGUCCAUGAGCUUCAGUUUUCUCACCUGUUAAAUGGAAAUGAUGAUUAUUUCCUGGAAAUUGCAUUUCCAGGUUGUUUUGAAUGAUAAAUGAUAUGGUGUAUAUAUCAGCUGUUUGCAAACCAGAAAAAGCUAUUCUAUGGUAAACACAUGCAGUGGGCUGAAUUGUGUCUCCCAAAAUUCAUAUGUUGAAGUCCUCACCCCCAGGGCCUCAGAAUGUGACUGUAUUUGGAUCUAGGGUCUUCAAGAGAUAACUAAGUUAGAAUGAGGUCAUUUGGGUUGAUCCUAAUCCAACUGACUGAUAUCCUUAUAAGACGACGAAAUUUGGAUACAGAAAUACACAGAAGACAGGGAGAAGAUGGCCAUCUACAAGCUAAGGAGAGAGGCCUCAGAAGAAACACACCUGCCACACCUUGAAUUUGGACUUCUAGCCAUCAGAACUGUGGGAAAAUAAAUUUCUGUUGUUUAAGCCAGGAGUCCUCAACCCCCGGGCUGUGGACCUGUACCAGUCGGUGGCAUGUUAAGGACUGGGCUCCACAGCAGGAGGUGAGUGGUGGGCGAGUGAGCAUUACUGCCUGAGCUCCACCUCCCGUCAGAUCAGCAGUGGCAUUAGAUUCUCAUAGGAGCACAAACCCUAUUGUAAACUGAGCACGCAAGGGAUCUAGGUUGUGCGCUCCUUACGAGAAUCUAAUGCCUGAUAAUCUGAGAUUGAACAGUUUUAUCCCCAAACCAUCCCCUCCACCACCCCCGUGGUCUGUGGAAAAAUUGUCUUCCACAAAACUGGUCCCUGGUGCCGAAAAGGUUAGGGACCAGCGGCUCAAGCCACCCAGCCUGUGGUACUUUGUUACGGUAGCCCUGGCAAAUGAAUACAACACGUUUUAGACUAUGAUGUUACACAUGCAGUGUGUUGAGAGCCAAAGAACCCAAAUGAUUCGUGGUAUCUGCCCUUGAAGAGUUUUUAAUCUUUUUGGGCAUGAUGAAACAUACACAUGGAAAAUAAAAUAGCAUAUAACCAAGUGCCCAAAUCAGUAAUAAAUACAGUUGACUCCAUAAACAUUUAGGAACCUUCUAUCCCAUGUUUCCACAUUCUAUCCCAGUGGCUUUUGCCACUAAAUUUCUUCACCCACUAUUAGACUGAUGUUUUCAUCUUUCAGUAUCAGACUCAAGCUUUAAUCUAGAAAGAGGGGGUGGGGGGAUAAAUGCUAUACUUUGGAACCAGUCCGGAUAUUUUAAGUAUGUUUUUAAAAAGUAUAAUCCUCACAACAUGAAAGUUAUUAGUUCUAUUUUUCAGGUGAGAAGAGUUAAGGUCAAACAGACGAAAGCUAGUUAGUGGAGGGACUGGUAUUCCAAGCCCAUUCUGGUUAAACUAAAUCUUGUGUUCUUUCCACUAGAAAACUGCUUUUUGUCUUAAUUAUAAUUUUGUGACAAGGAUGUAUAGUCCAUUAAGGAAUAUAUACAACAGAAGAAGCAUUUAAGUGGACUUGAGGUUUGUGAAUCUGAACUAGUUUCUAUCGACUUUCACAUCAGCAGCUCCUAUUCUGGGGAAAGAGAAUGGAGGCUGGGAGUGAUCCUGACAAACCUUGAUGUGCAGGCUUGUGGAGAAACUGGAUUCACACCCAGGCUCGUGGAGUGUGGGAGAGGCUGGCCUGUCACAAUAUCAGGACAGCCUCUCUUAAUAACACUGCAGAAGGAAUCGAGGGCCCUGUGGUUUGCGGUCAGUGUGCCUCUUGUGCCAACUUUGGCACUACAAUGUCUUCAAUCACAUUAUCUUCCAAACCGGCUCUUCAUCCUAUGUCCUUAUUUCUGCUAAUGGUAUUCAUUUCUCUUAUUCAUGGACUCUGGGAAUCUUGGUGGUAUUAAAACCUGUCUCUUCUUUCCCCCUCGAUCUUCCACAUUCCAUUUCCUUUCAGCAGAAUCCCAAGCCUUCACCAUUUUUCAUUUUUGGUGCUGUUUCAGAGUUGCUGUGAACUUUACCUGGGUCCUCUAUCACCUUACCCAGCCAUUUGUCAUUCUGCCUGGUAAAGGGUUGAGCAGAUUUAUCUAUAUGAAUGAUCUUAUUUAAGCUAUUCUGUACACCUUCUGCUACUUAAACAGGCUCUAUGCUUCCACAUCUGCUCUCUAUCUGCCUAUGUGACUCAAACUUCAAUUGUCCAUCUCAGACAUCACAUCCUCCAUGAAGCCCUCUUGGGUUAUUUGAAGUAAUCUCUCUUCUGGGCUCUCAUAGCAUUACUGCUUGUAACUCUUUCAAAAGAUGAAUUUUGUGCUGUUGUUUACUUAAUGAGUACAAAUUUAGUGAUAAAUUUGAAAAACUUGUGUCCAUGUUUGAUAAAUAUGAAAAUCUCAUCAUUUUCAAUAUUUCUUAGAAUUUCAAAAUGUACUAAAUAUUAUUAAAAACCAAUCAUGGCAAUUUUAACAUUGAGUAUUCUUUUUUGAAAUAUGAAUGCUCCUCUCUCAAGACUGGUAUACUUUCUCACUCUACUCCCUUUUCAAGUGCCCUUAUCGAACUUUGCUGAUGAAAUCAUCUUUUCUUAGUUUGUUAGACUUUGGAUGGUGGAGACCUGUGCCUGCUACUUCUCUCAUCUCCUGAUACCUAAUGCAUAGUGUUCAGUACUGAAAUAUGGUCAACCAGAUGAGCUGAAAUGUCAAGAACUUAUAGACACACAUGGUUUCAUGGUUGUGAAACUAGAAGAUGUGGCAUAUUUUACACAAUGGAGGGAAGAGCAAAGGUUAUGCAUGUGCGGAGGCAGAGCCCCUAGGCAGGUUUCCCUCUUUUCCUUCCUGUGCACUGAUUUUUAUUUUGGUGAACUGAAACAGGGGUCUAACAAACUGGUAUCUCAUUUGUCUUUAUAAACAGAACUGCCAGAUUGGCUUUGCAAUUCAGGGCCCUGUAGGGUGCCCACCUCCUCAGUUUGGGCAGCAGCAUUACAUCUGAGUCUUAGAAUAAAAAUGGAAAGCAAUGGCUCAACCCAUUGGUUUGUCACCAUCCACAUGAAGGAUCUCUAUUGGUAAAAAAACAGACUCCCGUGUUCAAGGCCCUGGGGCUGGAAUCAAAUCCAUCAUUCAUUUAUUUCGGUUUUUUAAGGCUAAAUACAUAGGGAAGAAAAUGAAAUGUGAGAAAGCUGUGCAUUUUCAAUGUCAUCUUGAAAGUGAGUAUCUUUAGACACAUAAAGUAGAUGAGUGGUUAACUUGGGCUGGGAGAGGGAGUGAGGAGUGGUUGUACAUGGCACAAGGUUUCUAUUUAGUGUGAUUGAAAUGUUCUAUAAUUUGAUUGAUGAUUGUACAGUUCUGUAAAUAAACUAAAAUGUAUUGAAUUGUAUAAUUAAAACAUGCAGAUUUUAUAUUUAAAAUAUACUUUGAUAAAAGUGUUUUAAAAAUGAAUAUCUCAUAGGGUAGAAUGAAAUGAAUAAGAGAAACAGUGAGGCAUCCAGGGGACUUUCUGCACAGUGGGUCUGUCAUUAGGCAGGUACGUUGCCACAGCCAGUUCUAAUGCCCACUCAUAGGCCAAUGCCUAGGACAAUUGCUCAGAUAUCGCCUCUGACAGGCAAGUGUUCCAUCAGUAACAGCAGGCAUCGGAAGAUGAUGCCAUUCCCUGCUGUUAGUAUGAUUAUAUUGACUUAGGUUUUUAAUUUUCUUUCUUGCUGUGUUUUUUUUUUUUCACCUUCUUAGCCUCUAAAGCAUGAACAUCUGUGUUUUUCAG
rnacentral:lncRNA from 1 species